rnacentral:rRNA from 1 species
UACGGAGGGUGCAAGCGUUGUCCGGAUUUAUUGGGUUUAAAGGGUGCGUAGGCGGCCCGUUAAGUCAGCGGUGAAAUCCCAGGGCUCAACCCUGGAACUGCCGUUGAUACUGGCGGGCUUGAGUUCGGUCGAGGCGGGCGGAACUGGUGGUGUAGCCGUGAAAUGCAUAGAUACCACCAAGAACCCCGAUUGCGUAGGCAGCUCGCUAGGCCGAAACUGACGCUGAGGCACGAAAGCGUGGGGAGCGAACAGG